AAAUAUUAUUGUAGCGUCAUAAUUAAACGUCUCACACAAAUUAACAAUAUAUGGGAAAGAAAAAAAGAGCCUUGAAGAAAGUGAUUCCUUGCAAAAUUAUGGAAUUCUUUGUAUUCCAUAUUUCUUUAAAUUGCUCUUCAUUUACAAUGUUUAAAGAGAAAAAUUACAUAUUUCAAUUCCACCUUGGUCAUUGACCAACUAUUAAAGGGUGGAAGUCAAUUUCUUCUUUACUUUUACACCCUACAUGCUCCUCCAGGAGAGAAUCGUUUCCAGUCUACCAAACGCCGCAAGAAAUCCUUAACCUGCAAAGACAGUAUACGCAUACGACUUCAUUACCCCAACAUGCAAAAAUAUAGAAUUAAUAAAACCAAAAUAAUAAUAAUAAGCAGCCUUUUUAUUAUAUAUGAGUUAAAAACUUGCCUCAGCUGGCUCUUGUAAAGAAUAAGAGGCAUUCGUUUCUUUUGGAACUUUAGAAACAAGAAUCCCAAGCCCUUGUCCCCGGUUUCGUAAAACCUGUUUGGUAGGCAUAAAAAUUUAUUUGCUUGAUUAGUAAAAAAAAUAUAUAAUAAUAACAACAACGCUGACAACAAUAAUAAUAAUAAUAUACUUUGAAUGCGUCCUCAUCAGUCCGAUCAUCACCGAUAUAGACGGGUAGAACAUUGUUAGAAUUAGCAUAUCCUGAAAGAAACAAACAGUUAACAAAUAUCAUUAUUACAUUGUUAGUGACUAGUCAAGGGGAUCAAUCAUUAUAAUACAUGCAGAAAAUGAGGAGAUGCAUAUGGAGGAAGUUAAUUACCUAGCGAUUCUAAUAAGAAUUCCAGAGCUUUGCCCUUAUCCCAUUUAAUGAUUGGUCGGAUUUCUAAAACCUUCCUCCCUUGAGUUAGUCUAAGCUUGGGAUAAUCAUUAAGUGCUGAUCCUACCUGUUCAGCUAAUGCAGCCCACAUCUUUUCAUCAACACAUCUGAAGUGUACGGAUAUGCAAAAUUUGUUAUUUUCCACUUUAGCACCAGGGAUGGAUUUUGUUUUCUCUAUCAGAACUUUGUACACCUCAUCAAUCAUGGGCAAGAAUUUACUGGCAGGUUGAAACAGUAGAGCUUGAUGAUCUUUUUUGUAUUUGCGAGUUUUGGAUGGUCCCUUUAUGUCCAUGCCAUGGCUACCUGCAUAGUAAAGCCCCGCCAAUUUUACAAAGCUGUAGACCUUGUCUCUGCACCUUCCAGUGACUAUAGCUGUAGGAAAAUAUCUUGCAACAUCCCUAACAGCCUCUCUCAUUUCAUUAGUCAUGAAUGCUCGAUCAGGAUCUUCAACAAUGGGUGAGAGUGUACCAUCAUAAUCAAGAAACAUCACAAUCUGCUUUCCCUUAGAAGCAUUCACUAUUUGGUGGAACAUGCUUAAAGCCGAAGGAUGUUUGAGAAUCCAGGAAUUUUUUUCCUCGGUUUCAGAUAAAGAAGAGGUGGAUUUGACACGGGUAGGGGAAGAAUCUCUCAUUGAAUUAACCCAAACAUUAGUUUUGGCUACUUCUGCAGCAGCUGCUGCUGCUGCUGCUCCACCUGUUUCAAUCAUCUUUGCAAGUCUAGGAGCAGGUAAUGGCUUUGGCAUAGCCGGUGAAAAUAAAGAUUUGUGCAAGAGAAUACAGCUGAUCCUGAUAUUUUUACCCGAUUUCGCAUCGGAUGAUAUCACAUUCUGGUUCGUCAUUCCCUCUUUGAAAAGGCAGCAGAGAGAACUCAACACACACACUGAAGAUUUGAGAAGAUUGUGGAAAAGAAGAGAGAGGAAAGAAAACAGAGGAGAAAACAGAGAGGAGGAGAGCAGUAGUGGUGGUUUGGCGUUAGGAUGCAACAGAGACGAGGUUAAUAAAGAC
rnacentral:misc_RNA from 1 species